rnacentral:tRNA from 1 species
GGCCCCAUAGCACAGUUGGUCAGUGCAUCUGGCUCAGAACCAGUCGGCCGCAGGUUCAAGUCCUGCUGGGGCCA